GUCACACAUGGAGCCACUGGGGAGACACUCAGGCCUCGGGGUUUCAUCUUUCUCCUCGGCCCUUUGGUCUCCUUCUUGUCCUGACAUUGGGCCUUGAUUAACCUGGUGAACCCCCAAGGGAAAUGAGCAACCUCUCUCCUUUGUGUCCACCAGGGGCAAGUGGGCCACUUGUCCAGGACACACCCAUCUGUCAAAAGGGGCUGCAGAUUGAGGAGAAGCCAUCAGAGUCUGGAGGAAGGACCCUGAGCCUAAAAGGAACCAGGGGAAAGACCCAGGCUAGGGCUCUUUCUGAGGAAGCCAGCAUCCCUUCAAAAAUGGAGCCGAAAGAAUGGCCGGUCCCCAGCCCAAUGGUGUCCAUGAACCGAAAGGCCAGAUGACAGAAUUAAAAAAGAAAAACCAAGUGGUCUGAAUCAGGGAAGCAGACAGCGAAGGAUGUGGGUGGAGAAGGAAGGAAAGGGGUGAUGGCAGAGGUUCCUUUUGAGUUUGGGGUAAAGAAUUCAGGUUGGAUCUUGUUUUAUCCAAACCGGUUUGUUUAUCUCUAAAAAAUUAUCGGCAGCAAUGGCCCAAAGGGAUGCAUUGAGGGGACCCGCUUCCAAAGAGUAGGGAGCCCAACAAGUGUUCUAAUGUCUGGCGGAGUCGGCAGCUUGUAUCGCCCAGGGUUUGCUGGCUGCCUGCCCGGGUUGGGGGGAACAGUGAGCCCGGGGUGCUGGUUCCUAGCUCCAACCCCAGGUCUUGUGGGGCUUCUGUAGUGUGUUCUGUCUCCCUUGGUAGGGUGUGUUUUGUGUGUGUUUAAGGAGACGAUUCAGACUGUCCAUACUGGCCAGGCUGCACAAACCCUGUGGAUGCCCUUGGUGGCAGAGUGAGAGCUUGGGUGUUAGGACUUGGCUGGUGGCUUGCAGGGAACUUGGUCCUGGGGCAGAGGAGGUGGGCACAGACUCCCAGCCUCUUUCCGUGGCUCCUCUAGGCCUAGGGAGCC
rnacentral:lncRNA from 1 species